GGGGUUGUGGCUCAGUGGUAGAGUGCUCGCCUAACACGGGCGAGGCCCUGGGUUUAAUCCUCAGCACCACUU
rfam:Ictidomys tridecemlineatus contig111547, whole genome shotgun sequence.